GGCAAGGGGGUCAUCCCGACUUACCAACCCGAUGCAAACUGCGAAUACCGGAGAAUGUUAUCACGGGAGACACACGGCGGGUGCUAACGUCCGUCGUGAAGAGGGAAACAACCCAGACCGCCAGCUAAGGUCCCAAAGUCAUGGUUAAGUGGGAAACGAUGUGGGAAGGCCCAGACAGCCAGGAUGUUGGCUUAGAAGCAGCCAUCAUUUAAAGAAAGCGUAAUAGCUCACUGGUCGAGUCGGCCUGCGCGGAAGAUGUAACGGGGCUAAACCAUGCACCGAAGCUGCGGCAGCGACGCUUAUGCGUUGUUGGGUAGGGGAGCGUUCUGUAAGCCUGCGAAGGUGUGCUGUGAGGCAUGCUGGAGGUAUCAGAAGUGCGAAUGCUGACAUAAGUAACGAUAAAGCGGGUGAAAAGCCCGCUCGCCGGAAGACCAAGGGUUCCUGUCCAACGUUAAUCGGGGCAGGGUGAGUCGACCCCUAAGGCGAGGCCGAAAGGCGUAGUCGAUGGGAAACAGGUUAAUAUUCCUGUACUUGGUGUUACUGCGAAGGGGGGACGGAGAAGGCUAUGUUGGCCGGGCGACGGUUGUCCCGGUUUAAGCGUGUAGGCUGGUUUUCCAGGCAAAUCCGGAAAAUCAAGGCUGAGGCGUGAUGACGAGGCACUACGGUGCUGAAGCAACAAAUGCCCUGCUUCCAGGAAAAGCCUCUAAGCAUCAGGUAACAUCAAAUCGUACCCCAAACCGACACAGGUGGUCAGGUAGAGAAUACCAAGGCGCUUGAGAGAACUCGGGUGAAGGAACUAGGCAAAAUGGUGCCGUAACUUCGGGAGAAGGCACGCUGAUAUGUAGGUGAAGUCCCUUGCGGAUGGAGCUGAAAUCAGUCGAAGAUACCAGCUGGCUGCAACUGUUUAUUAAAAACACAGCACUGUGCAAACACGAAAGUGGACGUAUACGGUGUGACGCCUGCCCGGUGCCGGAAGGUUAAUUGAUGGGGUCAGCGCAAGCGAAGCUCUUGAUCGAAGCCCCGGUAAACGGCGGCCGUAACUAUAACGGUCCUAAGGUAGCGAAAUUCCUUGUCGGGUAAGUUCCGACCUGCACGAAUGGCGUAAUGAUGGCCAGGCUGUCUCCACCCGAGACUCAGUGAAAUUGAACUCGCUGUGAAGAUGCAGUGUACCCGCGGCAAGACGGAAAGACCCCGUGAACCUUUACUAUAGCUUGACACUGAACAUUGAGCCUUGAUGUGUAGGAUAGGUGGGAGGCUUUGAAGUGUGGACGCCAGUCUGCAUGGAGCCGGCCUUGAAAUACCACCCUUUAAUGUUUGAUGUUCUAACGUGGACCCGUGAUCCGGGUUGCGGACAGUGUCUGGUGGGUAGUUUGACUGGGGCGGUCUCCUCCUAAAGAGUAACGGAGGAGCACGAAGGUUGGCUAAUCCUGGUCGGACAUCAGGAGGUUAGUGCAAUGGCAUAAGCCAGCUUGACUGCGAGCGUGACGGCGCGAGCAGGUGCGAAAGCAGGUCAUAGUGAUCCGGUGGUUCUGAAUGGAAGGGCCAUCGCUCAACGGAUAAAAGGUACUCCGGGGAUAACAGGCUGAUACCGCCCAAGAGUUCAUAUCGACGGCGGUGUUUGGCACCUCGAUGUCGGCUCAUCACAUCCUGGGGCUGAAGUAGGUCCCAAGGGUAUGGCUGUUCGCCAUUUAAAGUGGUACGCGAGCUGGGUUUAGAACGUCGUGAGACAGUUCGGUCCCUAUCUGCCGUGGGCGCUGGAGAACUGAGGGGGGCUGCUCCUAGUACGAGAGGACCGGAGUGGACGCAUCACUGGUGUUCGGGUUGUCAUGCCAAUGGCACUGCCCGGUAGCUAAAUGCGGAAGAGAUAAGUGCUGAAAGCAUCUAAGCACGAAACUUGCCCCGAGAUGAGUUCUCCCUGACCCUUUAAGGGUCCUGAAGGAACGUUGAAGACGACGACGUUGAUAGGCCGGGUGUGUAAGCGCAGCGAUGCGUUGAGCUAACCGGUACUAAUGAACCGUGAGGCUUAACCUU
rnacentral:rRNA from 1 species